rnacentral:rRNA from 1 species
UACGUAGGUGGCAAGCGUUGUCCGGAAUUAUUGGGCGUAAAGCGCGCGCAGGCGGUCCUUUAAGUCUGAUGUGAAAGCCCACGGCUCAACCGUGGAGGGUCAUUGGAAACUGGGGGACUUGAGUGCAGGAGAGAAGAGUGGAAUUGCCACGUGUAGCGGUGAAAUGCGGUAGAAGAUGUGGAGGAACACCAGUGGCGAAGGCGACU